UAAAAAGAGGUUUCAUAAUGAAGCUAGUUUCGGUGUUCAUCCUCAUGUUUUAUUGGUUUGAUUUAUUUGAUUUUUUAAUGUGUUACUUAGCUGAAUGUGGACUAGUCUAGAUGUUACAAUGUGCUUUAGAUGGCACUUCAUUAUAACUGUCACAUAAUGAUCACACAAAAUCCAGUUACAAGUGAAGUCCAGUUUAUUUUGCCACAACAACGAACAAGCAAGAUGUGUAGAGAAUGUGAACAUGAGCAGGUGAGCAGGUCUCUGUGACACGGAGACUGCGAGGCACUGACCCAAUCCAACUCAGACAGAAUUCCAAGAACAAGACGGUGAACCACACCGGACAACAAUCCUUUUCUGAGAGCAAUCAUGACUCAAAGGACUGGAGAGGAAGCCAGGCAUGGACAAACUCAAACAAUGAUCUGACAACAUGCAGUACCAAACACAAGACAGAUAAAGACAGGACAGAACAAGCGGCAGGUGCAGCUGUGCUAAUUAGCUCAUCAGCACCGUGGUUGCCGGAGCAACUCUGAACGAGCAAUCAGACAGGUAACGAGAUACAGACACGCAGAAAUGAACACACGGAUCCAUGAAUGUGUGUGGCAGGAUGGUUAGAUCCUCCUGUACUGAUUGUUAGGAUUGUUAGCCUAUCAGUAGUUAUGGGUGAGCGUAUAAAGGGUGGAGUUGCGUGACUUGGAUGUGUUGGUCUCAGGUGCUCUGCCCCUUUCUGCUACCAGCAUUUACACAGUGUUUAGCAGUGUGGCUAACUUGGUCACGGCUCACUUAGGGUUCUUUUUGUGCAUUUAUCUGAAAGCCGUAUGACAUCAACUGGUUAAUGUUGCGACCUGUGUUUGGUCAGACUUCUUACUUGGGUGCUGUGUGUCAAACCCCAAAAGGGCAGGGAGGCAGAUAUCCACACGUGUGCGGUGGUGGCGCUAUCUUGUCACCGUGUGCAGUGUUGUGGCGUGUCGAUCACUAACCAAAAUCUCACUGGGUAUUGAGUGUGUGAAUGUAUGCACCAAUAGUGUGUCAUAAUUGCAAUUUGUGCUUCUUUAGGAGUUGAUUCCAGCUGACCACAGCCCUGUAACUCUCUUUUUUUUUUUUUUUUUUUUUUUUUUUUUUGUGAUCCGCAACAAAUAACCAAUCAUUAAGUUUGUCAGCGCUCAUGUGAUUUCCUUUUUAAGUAAUUUAUUACUUGGAUUAAUAAAGCUUUGUAUUUUGGUACCCACGUCUCUUGCUCAAUUAUUUUGUGGAACUGAACCUGUAUUGCCUUGAUUAGCACCUGCCAGUGCAUAGUAUUUCCCUAGGUGCAAGUCCUGGGGUGGCGUAGUCCUCUGUCUAGUGUUAUAGUUUUUGUUGCCUAUUGCCAUGCUGCUACAUUCUGGCGUAGUCGGCAGUGUUCUACAGUUUUGAGUAGAGACGUGGGUUAUUUUGUUGCUUUGGAUAUUUCUUUAAAUUGAUAUUGUUUUUGUUUACGGUUCUUCCUAGGAAGACAGCAGCACAAACUCCUGGAAGGAUUCACCUGGCUGUUUUCUCUUUUCUAACCCC